rnacentral:lncRNA from 1 species
GAUUUUUCAAAUUUUUGUUUGUUUCAAUUUCAUUGAUUUUUGGCUCUGGUUUUAAUGAUUUCCUGUCUUAUACUGCUUUUGGCUAUGAUUUGUUUUUCUUCUUCUAGGGCUUUGAGGUAUAAUGUUAGGUUAUUUAUUUGGUGACUUUCUCCUAUUCUUUUAAAGAAUGUGCUCAAUGCAAUAAACUUUCCUCUUAGAACCACCUUCAUAAUGUCCCAGAGAUUUUGAUAUGUUGUGUUGCUAUUCUCAUUUACCUCUAAGUAUUUUUUAAUUACAUCCCUGAUUUCUUCCACUAUCCAUUGGUCAUUCAAUAAUGUAUAAUUUAGUCUCCAGGUGUUAGCAUAGCUUUUAUUUUUAAUUUUAUCCUUGAUUUCUAAUUUUAUUCCAUUAUGAUCUGAUAGAAUACAAGGUAUUAUCUCUAUUUUUUUUGUGUUAUUUGCUAAAAGUUGCUUGGUGGCCCAAGUGAUGGUCUAUUUUAGGGCAGGAUCCAUGUGCUAGUGACAAGAGAGUAUAUUCAGAUCAUAAGUAGAAUAAUUAUAC